rnacentral:lncRNA from 1 species
GAUCUCCUGAGAACUCUGUCAUGAGACAGCACCAGGCGGAUGGUGCCAAACCAUUAGAAUCCACUCCCAUGGUCCAAUCACCUCUCACCAGGACCCACUUCCAACAUUGGGGAUUACAAUUCAACAUGAGACCUGAGUGGAGACACAGAUGCAAACCAUGUCAGUAUAUUUUGAAUAACAGUUCUUUACCAGAUAUAUCUUCUUGCAAAUAUUUCCUCCCGGUCUGCAACUUUUUCCUUCUCUUAACAGGGAGUCAUCACAGCAUUCUUCAGCUUAGGAACACCAAACAUCACUUCUGCACUAUGGCGGGGAGCCAUUUGAAACAGUAAAGUCACAAAGAAAAAACCACAAAAAUGAAAACAUGGGCAACUAAGGAGGCAGAAGGACUUUUGUUUACAGGAUGAGAGCUGAAACAAAAAGGCAGAGCCUCACCUGGUGCGACCUCAACUGGAAAAGUGCAUGAGUGACUCAAAUUUUUUACCACAUCAUGCAUGUCUAUGAAUGAUACAAAAGCACAAGUUUUGAUUUGGGGGUUAGAAAUAAAUUUUAGCAAAUAGGCAAAUCUACAAAUAAUGAGGAUCAACUGUAUAUUUUUUGGAUACAUUGAGAGGAUCACCCAGGAGACGGGCUGCCAUAAAUGCCCAUUUGGAUGGUAGGGAGAGGAUUACAGUGAAGACAGGCCCACACCCACAUGUGAUCAUCAGGUGCUUAAGAGGGUGGAAGGACAUGAGCAGACAGAAAGAGCUAGCUGGCAAGCUAGCUGGCAAUCUGGAGCUUCCCUUCAUUCUCUUGCCCCACUGGAUGCUGAGAUGAAAGCCAGAGGACUUGCCACAGGGUCUGGAUGCUGAGAUGAAAGCCAGAGGACUUGCCACAGGGUCUGCUGAGACAAAGCAAGGUGACCCCACAGCACAGGAUGGACAGCCAAGCCAAGGGAUGGAGGCAGCAGAAACCCAAAGGGCUAGAGCUCAUUUGAGUUGAAGAGAAGCAGAGAUCAGGAAAUGAGUGUCGAGUUCUUUUUAAGAACAUUGCUGGAGCUGGAGACCACCAGCUGCAGGUUUCAGCCCUGAAGAGCAACAGGGCAGCAGCUCUGGACAAGGGGCUGGCUGCUACAGAUACACGGAUUCCUGUCAGCGCAACCUGUGAACUGUCAUGAGCCCAGGGCCUAUCCAUAUCCCGUCAGCACAACAUGGAACCAGCAAGUCACGUUCUUUUCCAUGCUUUCACCUAGACCUCACUAUCUCAACUAGGUUGAACUGGUGGAAGCUUGGGAGGGCCAAUUUAGUUAAACAAAAGAUAAAGAAAUCCCCUUUUCUCUACAUCUCAGCUGUACUAUGAACUGACAUAUGUGAUCCAGUUACAUAAUGUUUUUAAUUGGCUAUCCUCUUAAUGGUGGUCAUAAUCUAGGGAGGAAAUUAGAUGCUUCCUGAUUCAUCAUAAUAAGACAAUUUAUGAUGAGAGCUUCAAGUGUUCAUUAAGUUGGUUUGUUUUAUCCAGGGGGCAGCAGUGAGCUUUGGCAAUGCUAUCAGCAAAGAAAGACACUGAAUUGGUGCUCAGGACAGUGAGUGCUACUCAGAAUGUCUUGGGAAGGCUGUUACAGUACUUUCAGGUGUAUUUCUUAUGGUUUUCAGGGCUGACUGAAAAAGGCUAAUCUGUCAGGUUCGCAGCACCACAGCCCUGCCCUGCCAUCUUCCUUUCUCCUUCCCCAACACUUUAUACCUCCACAUCCCCUCCUGAUUCCAAGACGCCUGGCCUUGGCCGUCUCCUAUAACUGAUGCUCUCAGCAGUAGUGGUAGUAGAGAUGACUUCCCUUUUGGUCUACUCACUCCCUUAAUUGUCCAGCAAUUCUUCAUGUUGGUGAUGUUGUUCUUAAGAUUUGAAAUAUGCUGAUGAUUUUCCAUUGCCACCCCUGCCUGCCCUUCUCUGCCCUGUUUAGUGCCCAGAGAAACUGCCCCUUGGAAUUGCUCAUUCAGGCUCCCUUGUUGGCUGGCUUCCAUUUGGGUUCUACCACUGUAGGUGCCUGGCCUGUUUGACCCUCCCUGUUUUUAUGCACCCUCCCUGUCUCUGGCACCUGCUGCAUCCCUUUUUGGCUACAGCCCUUGUUGGGGGCCUGUCCUCAUCAGCCCCAUUGCUUAAUGGAAUUUAGUGACACUAUUACAUUCCCCUUGUUCCUUCAGCCCUAUGGACGGUGAUGAUUUCCAGCUAUUGCCAGUCUCUGAAUGCUUUAACAACCCCUAUUGUUUCCUUUAAACCUACCCACAUGCUCAUAAUUUCUUCACUGAAAUUCUUUAUUCAGUCACAGGAGUUGGAGUCUGCUUCCUGCUGCAACCCUUCCUGAUCCUUUAAGUUAAUCUCUAACUUGCUAUUGGUGAUGCUUCCUUUAAGCCUUGAGUUUUUCAUAGUUCAGCCCACAAACAUCUUGCUUUCAGAAUUGUCGUAGGUGCUUGCUAAAAAUGCAAUUUCCUGGGACCCAUCUUUCUAAUCAGAAUCUCUAAGAGAGCCCAGUGGUGAUGAGUGCAUCUCCAUCUUAACACGCUCCUGAAGCUGAAGGACCUGAUAUGAGGCUCACCACUGCUGGGAGUCAGCUAGUGCCUGAGAGCGUGUUCUUGGGAAUGUCAGUAGCCUUCCAGAGCCCUCUGAUCUCUGAUAAAGCCCGUCUUUAUUCAUUAAGAUUAAUUACAUGCAUUUCAAGUGAUUUAAACUUCUAAGAGAAAAAGGUAUCUGUAAAUAAGAUAUUUUUGAGCCAAACCCACCAAGUGUUUGGAGCCCUGCUGAACACGAAUCUCAGUCUGCCUUCUUGGGAACACCAAAAGCGUGAAUAUCAAAGGGGAGGUGAAAGUUCAGGCCAGUGUACUCAGGUUUGAAAUGGUCUCUUUUAGAAAGCCACUCCUGUUCCUCCAGCACUCACUCUUUGGGAUCCUUACAGAAUUCAGAACUGCAGGAAACAACCGCCUAGUUAUUCUCGACUUCCAUUUAUUAACUUUACAGAAGGGAAACUGAGCAAAAGGCUGCCCAGAGGCUCACUCUGAGGUUUCUGGAGGUCAAAGUCUAGGCCCAGAUGUGCUGGAGCUUCUGCUCAGGGUCUCAUACAACUGAAAUAAAGGUGUCAGCCAGGCUGCAUUCCUUUCUGGAGAUCAGCAGAAUUCAGUUCCUUGUGAUUGCAAAACUGAGGCUCCAGUUCUUUCACUGACCAUGCACCUGGGGUGCUCCCAAGUCUUAGAGGCUGUCCGGCAGUUCCUGGGCAUGUGGCCUCCUCCAUGAGCCCUGUCUCACUCAGGCUUAAUGGAUAAUCUCCCUUUUAUGAACUCAAAGUCAACUGAUGAGUAACCUCAUCAUAAAGUAAUAUGCCUUCAUCUUCACAGCUUCUGCCCACACAAGAUGGGAGGGAAUUAUACAAGACAUAUAUACCAGGGACAGGAAUCAUGGGGACAUCUUAAAACCCUGGCUAUCACCAGGGCUUGCCUUAAAGCAGCAUAUUAAUAGCAAACAUUUAUUGAGUGCCAAACACUGGUCUAAGCCCUAUACACAUGUUAACUCAUAUAAUCUUUAAUCUUUACAACAGCUCUAAGAAAUAGGGACCAUUAUUAUCACCCCGUUUUUGUUGUUGUUGUUGUUGUUGUUCUUUUUUUGUUUUGUUUUUAUUUUUUUUGUUUUGUUUUGAGAAGGAGUUUCGCUCUUGUUGCCCAGGCUGGAGUGCAGUGGCACAAUCUCGGCUCACUGCAGCCUCUGCCUCCCGGGUUCAAGCGAUACACCUGCCUCAGGCUCCCAAGCAGCUGGGAUUACAGGCGCCCACCACCAACACUGGCUAAUAUUUUUUGUAUUUUUAGUAGGGAUGGGGUUUCGCCAUGUUGGCCAGGCUGGUCUUGAACUCCUGACCUCAGGUGAUCCGCCUGCCUUGGCCUCCCAAACUGCUGGAUUACAGGCGUGAGCCACCGCACCCAGCCAACACCCUGUUUUUAUAGGCAAAUCACUUGAGGGAUCUGAGGAUAAAUGCAAAUUAGAAAUAAGGCUUAAUUCUCCCUGUUGAAAAUAAGGGAAGGAGCAUCCCACCCUUUCCUUUUCUUCAGAGUUUCUUUCUCUGUCCUUGUCAAAUGUAUGUAAACCUUUUUAAUGGCUAACUAAACCUCUGGCCAGUGUCAAUACUCAGGAAUGUUUCCUGAAGUAUCUGAGAGGCUUCUCUUUGAACUAUAAUCAAGGAAGAUAACAGCCAGUCUCCCUGUGUCCUGGGAAGAGAUAGGCCUACCUGUCACCUGACUCAAAUGGCAAAACCUACCCAAGGUAAUGGGUUGGAUCCACUUGGCUAUAUAAAAGAAUGAAAUUGCUUUCUUUAUAACCCCUUCAGCAGGUUGCCUGUCUGUGAUACACAUCACAUUCUCGUUUUUUGUUUUUACCUUUCUGGGUUUUCUUUGAGACAGGGUCUUACUCUGUAACCUAGGCUGGAGUGCAGUGGCACCAUCUCAGCUUAUUGCAAGCUUUGCCUCUUGGGGUCAAGCGAUUCUCCUGUUGCAGCCUCCCGAGUAGCUGGGAUUACAGGUGCCCACCACAAUGCCUGGCUAAUUUUUGCAUUUUUAGUAGAAACAAGGUUUCACAAUGUUGGCCAGGCUGGUCUCGAACUCCUGACCUCAGGAGUUCGCCUUGGCCUCCCAAAGUGCCAGGAUUACAGGCGUGAGCCACCACCCCUGGCCGCAUUCUGGUUUAAUGCUGAGUCAGUAGUGAAGUUGUUUCCUACUUUUCCACCUUUGUAAAGAGGUUUUCUGGAUUUGGAGGUGAUAUGGUUUGGCUCUGUGUCCCCACCCAAAUCUCAUCUUGUAGCUCCAAUAAUUCCCAUGUGUUGUGGGCGGGACGUGGUAGGAGAUGAUCGAAUCAUGGGUGCGGGUCUCUCCCAUGCUGUUCUCGUGAUAGUGAAUGGGUCUCACAAGAUCUGAUGGUUUUAAAAAUGGGAGUGUAUCUGCAUAAGCUCUCUUUGCAUGCCGCCAUUCACAUAACAUGUGACUUGCUCCUCCUUCCCUUCCACCAUGAUUGUGAGGCCUCCCCAUCCACUUGAAGCUGUGAGUUCUCCAUUAAACCUCUUUUCUUUGUAAAUUUCCCAGUCUCAGGUAUGUCUUUAACAACAGCACGAAAACAGACUAAUACAGGAGAUUCUGUUUUUAAUUAUAUUUCCCUAAUAGGUGCAGAAAAGUUAAGUAACUUGUCAGUGACACCUUGCUACUGAGUGGCAGAGUUUACACUGUGAACCCAGGUCUCUGGCUCUAGCUCUAAAGUCCAUGUACCUAUCCACCUCGUAAAUCUUACAGUUUUACCAGAAAUAGUUUGGAGUAUCCACCUAUUCUUUACCUGAAGCUUCCCCAUACACCUAUUAAUGACCAGUGAGGCCUCCAUAUCUAAACCUUCAGAUCAGGGUUUGGAGCCAUGUAAUGUGUUGUGGUGUGGGCUACCUUGUGCAUUUAUAGGAUGUUUAGCAGCAUCCUUGGCCUUUACCCAUGAGAAACCAGUAAGGUACCAGGAUGUGACAAUCAAACAUGUCUCCAAACAUUGUCAUACAUUUUGAGGGAAAAGGGACAAAAUCACCACAAGCUGAGAACCAGUCCUUUAGUGGACACACACACACACACACACCACUUGCUUGGCAGGGAGACAGGGAAAAAGAGAAGAGGACCUAUAGUUGGGAGAAAGGCUUUGACUUUCACACAGUGACUAGAAGCCAAUGGCCUGGUAGCUGAGGCUGCAGCCUCCUAAAUCUUGCUUUUUCAGAAACAAGAAGAAAAGGGUUGGGUUAGCAGUGGUCUCAUGAAUCUUUCUUCCCAUUCUUUCUUUCUGGUUGGAUUGGAAAAGUUAAGUGUCUGAGAAGAGUUAAUCACAAUAAAAAUAAUUUCUCUUUAACAAAGAUUUGGGCUCCUCUACCUUGUACUGUAUUUCCCUUUAUUCUUUAGUGAAAUUUGAAGUUUUGUUAAAUCCUCUAAAGGAUCAUUGGCAGGAAAAAUAAUGAGUUUGGUCAAAGACUCUAACUUCAGACUUUCUACAGCUGCAGACCACAGCAAGAAGGUGACUUCACCUUGGAAAAUUCUCAACUGAAAGCCUGG